CUACGGCCACAUCACGUUGAAACAUUGGUUCCCGUACGAUCACCUAAGUUAAGCAACGUCGAACAUGGUCAGUAUCUAGAUAGGUGACCGCUUGGAAAUGCCAGAUGCUGUAAG